rnacentral:tRNA from 1 species
UUUAACAAAGCAUUGGUUUGCACUUGACUGUUAAUCAAGAGGUCCAGCUUAAAUCUGGUGUUAAAA